rnacentral:tRNA from 2 species
CCGCCCUUAGCUCAGCUGGAUAGAGUACCGGACUUCGAAUCCGUUGGUCGCAUGUUCGAAUCAUGCAGGGCGGGCCA